rnacentral:rRNA from 1 species
CCUACGGGUGGCAGCAGUGGGGGAUAUUGCACAAUGGGGGGAACCCUGAUGCAGCGACGCCGCGUGGGUGAAGAAGCGCCUCGGCGCGUAAAGCCCUGUCAGCAGGGAAGAAAAUGACGGUACCUGAAGAAGAAGCCCCGGUUAACUACGUGCCAGCAGCCGCGGUCAUACGGAGGGGGCCAGCGUUAUCCGGAUUUACUGGGUGUAAAGGGGGCGUAGAAGGCGAUGCAAGCCAGGAGGUAAAGCUCAGGGCCCAACCCCGGGACUGCCCUUGGAACUGCGUGGCUGGAGUGCAGGCGGGGCAGGCGGAAUGCGUGGUGUAGCGGUGAAAUGCGUAGAUAUCAGGAAGAACACCGGUGGCGAAGGCAGCCUGCUGGACUGCGACUGACGUUGAGGCCCGAAAGCGUGGGGAGCAAACAGGAUUAGAUACCCUUGUAGUC